CCUGGGGAGUACGGUCGCAAGAUUAAAACUCAAAUGAAUUGACGGGGGCCCGCACAAGCGGUGGAGCAUGUGGUUUAAUUCGAUGCAACGCGAAGAACCUUACCUACUCUUGACAUCCAGAGAACUUUCCAGAGAUGGAUUGGUGCCUUCGGGAACUCUGAGACAGGUGCUGCAUGGCUGUCGUCAGCUCGUGUUGUGAAAUGUUGGGUUAAGUCCCGCAACGAGCGCAACCCUUAUCCUUGUUUGCCAGCACUUCGGGUGGGAACUCCAGGGAGACUGCCGGUGAUAAACCGGAGGAAGGUGGGGACGACGUCAAGUCAUCAUGGCCCUUACGAGUAGGGCUACACACGUGCUACAAUGGCGUAUACAGAGGGCUGCCAACUCGCGAGAGUGAGCGAAUCCCAGAAAGUACGUCGUAGUCCGGAUUGGAGUCUGCAACUCGACUCCAUGAAGUCGGAAUCGCUAGUAAUCGUGAAUCAGAAUGUCACGGUGAAUACGUUCCCGGGCCUUGUACACACCGCCCGUCACACCAUGGGAGUGGGCUGCACCAGAAGUAGAUAGCUUAACCUUCGGGAGGGCGUUUACCACGGUGUGGUUCAUGACUGGGGUGAAGUCGUAACAAGGUAGCCCUAGGGGAACCUGGGGCUGGAUCACCUCCUUACCUAAAGA
rnacentral:rRNA from 1 species